UAGGGAAUCUUCGGCAAUGGACGAAAGUCUGACCGAGCAACGCCGCGUGAGUGAAGAAGGUUUUCGGAUCGUAAAACUCUGUUGUUAGAGAAGAACAAGGACGAUAGUAACUGAACGUCCCCUGACGGUAUCUAACCAGAAAGCCACGGCUAACUACGUGCCAGCAGCCGCGGUAAUACGUAGGUGGCAAGCGUUGUCCGGAUUUAUUGGGCGUAAAGCGAGCGCAGGCGGUUUCUUAAGUCUGAUGUGAAAGCCCCCGGAUCAACCGGAGAGGGUCAUUGGAAACUGGGAGACUUGAGUGCAGAAGAGGAGAGUGGAAUUCCAUGUGUAGCGGUGAAAUGCGUAGAUAUAUGGAGGAACACCAGUGGCGAAGGCGGCUCUCUGGUCUGUAACUGACGCUGAGGCUCGAAAGCGUGGGGAGCAAACAGG
rnacentral:rRNA from 1 species